GAUGAACGCUAGCGGCAGGCCUAACACAUGCAAGUCGAGGGGCAUCACGGAUUGCUUGCAAUCUGGUGGCGACCGGCGCACGGGUGCGUAACGCGUAUACAACCUACCUUUUUGGAGGGGAAUAGCCCAGAGAAAUUUGGAUUAAUACCCCAUAGUAUAUAGGAAUCUCCUGAUUUUUAUAUUAAGCAUUUAUGGCCAUUAGAUGGGUAUGCGUCCUAUUAGCUAGUUGGUGUGGUAACGGCACACCAAGGCUACGAUAGGUAGGGGUCCUGAGAGGGAGAUCCCCACACUGGUACUGAGACACGGACCAGACUCCUACGGGAGGCAGCAGUGAGGAAUAUUGGACAAUGGGCGAGAGCCUGAUCCAGCCAUGCCGCGUGCAGGAAGACUGCCCUAUGGGUUGUAAACUGCUUUUACAGAGGAAGAACCACCCCCACGUGUGGGGGUUUGACGGUACUCUGCGAAUAAGGAUCGGCUAACUCCGUG
rnacentral:rRNA from 1 species